AUGAGUUGCAAAACUCCAAGACCCUUUGUGAACCUUACCUACACCGUUUCCUCGGCGGGCGGCGGCAAGCCGUAACCGGAUUCCCCGCCUCUUCUAUUGGGAGAGCGGGGGCUGGGCCCGCCGAAGGCACUCUAACUCUUAUCUUCAGUUGGCCUCUCUGAGUUGUACUUACAAAUAAGUCA
rnacentral:misc_RNA from 1 species